UUCCAUUGGGUUUCUAAAAGAAGUAUUCAUAAAGUUGCAAGGUACACAAGAAAAACUGCUUACCCAUCUGUAAUUAUAUUGCCAUAUGUAGAUCAAAGAAUUUGCUAAUCACAGUAGACUUACUAGCAUGAUAUAUAUUGUAGGAACGAAGCCCAAACGUCAAGUUCGUGGGUUGAGAGAUGGUAACUUCAAGACAUUGGUAUACCAUUUUCCAAUGUAUGCAUAGUCGAUACAGCUCGAUGAAGAUAGAACAAUGGAUGCAAAACAAGCUGAAAGUUGUUGAACAAUAAUUUAAUUCUACAUUGCAGUCUUGGCAUCAUCCUAUGCACCAGCUAUGUGGUAAAGUUCUCGAAUUCGUUGUCCACUUUUUAUACCAAUGUCAACGAAGAAUAAUGACAAUAAGGAAGAUGAUGCAAUUGAGUACGAAAAGAACAAUUUUGAUGAUGAGCACAACUUUAAUGAGGAUCAGCAGCAUAUCUAAUUCAUGAGUAUGAAGAGUUAUAGAUGCA
rnacentral:lncRNA from 1 species